GCCACUUUAGCUCAGUUGGUAGAGCAGCUGAUUUGUAAUCAGCAGGUCGGGGGUUCGAAUCCGUCAAGUGGCU
rnacentral:tRNA from 1 species